rnacentral:rRNA from 1 species
CUACGGGAGGCUCCAGUGGGGAAUAUUGGACAAUGGGGGAAACCCUGAUCCAACAAUGCCGCGUGUGUGAAGAAGGCCUGCGGGUUGUAAAGCACUUUCGGUUGGGAGGACUGCUUCUAGCACUAAUAUUGUUGGAAGUUGACGUUACCUUCAGAAGAAGCACCGGCUAACUCCGUGCCAGCAGCCGCGGUAAUACGGAGGGUGCAAGCGUUAAUCGGAAUUACUGGGCGUAAAGCGCGCGUAGGCGGCUAGAUCAGUCGGGUGUGAAAGCCCCGGUCUUAACCUGGGAACUGCAUCCGUACUGUCUAGCUUGAGUACAGGAGAGGAGAGUGGAAUUCCACAUGUAGCGGUGAAAUGCGUAGAUAUGUGGAGGAACACCAAUGGCGAAGGCAGCUCUCUGGCCUGAUACUGACGCUGAGGUGCAAAAGCGUGGGGAGCAAACAGGAUUAGAUACCCGCGUAGUC